AGAUAGAAACCAACCUGGCUCACGCCGGUCUAAACUCAGAUCAUGUAAGAUUUUAAAGGUCGAACAGACCUAAUUUCGCUAGCCUCUUCACCAGCAAUUAAUCUUAAUCCAACAUCGAGGUCGCAAUCCUCCCUUUCGAUAAGAACUCUAAAAGAGAUUACGCUGUUAUCCCUGAGGUAAUUUCAUCUUUAAUCUAACAUUAUGUAGGAUCAUAAACUCACAAAUAAGUGAACAAAUUAAAAAAAGUUGAUCUAAUUUUCCCAUCACCCCAACAAAACAUUUAACUUAACAAACAAACUUUUAAUACUUUAAAUCUAAAUGCUAAAUAAAUAUUAAACUCUACAGGGUCUUCUCGUCUUCUAUGCACAUUUAAGCUUUUUUACUUAAAAAUAAAAUUUUAUUUAAUUUUCCUAGAGACAGAAAUUUUUUCAUCAAACCUUUCAUACAAGUUUUCAAUUAAAAAACUAAUGAUUAUGCUACCUUUGCACGGUCAAAAUACCGCGGCUAUUUAAUACCUCAUUGAGCAGGUUAGACUUGAAAUUAUACUCAACAAGCC
rnacentral:rRNA from 1 species